GGGCACUGGCAUUUUCAGAAACCGAUCGGUCUGCGUGCGGACUAGAGGUCCUCGCGCUCCGUUUGUUGGUGUCCUGAGUCACGCAGGAGUAAAAACCCACCUGAGACACCCACCUCAUCCGCCCAGACAGAGUCCUCCCAAGCCUGCUGUGCUCCUUUCCUCGUGGGACCCUACAGGAAGCCCAGCCCCUCAUCCAGGUGCUGAGCAUUACUGUAGAAGCUACAGCAUAUGAUCUAGCCACCAGACAAGAACACCUGCGCUCGCUGUCUUACACUCCAGUAUGGGAUACAGACAGUAUAGAGAUGGACCACUAAAAUACACAUCCUAUUCUAUUUUGGAGCACAGCCAUCGUGAGGAGGAAUAUGGAUCUGGUUGCCACUGCCUGCCAUGAAGUGAGGAAGAAGGCAUGAAGUACAGCUUCUUUCUAGCAGAUGCGUCCCAGGGAGCCUGGCAUGGGCAAGGCAGCUCUGUGGUCAGGUUUCUGGCCAACGGGACUCAGCUGGAAUCCAUAAUGUCUCUCCUAAUGACUGAAACCUAGUGUGGCUGUUACUGCUCUAGCUGUGGCUGGCCUUCACCAUCCCUGACAGUAAAUACCGCCCGAUAAUUGUGGAAGAAAGAAUUGCAAUGCUCAGUGCCAUCAAGCUCAGAUGUACUGCAGAGCUGAGGAAACCCAAGAGCGCUGGGUUGCACCGGCUUGGGGCACCGCCGGAGGUCGUAAAGGAGAAGGCGUGCCUAGCUCAUUUCCGGCAGUUUCCAGCACCCUGGCUGAUUUCCGGCAGUUUCCCGCGCCCUGGCUCAUUUCCGGCAGUUUCCCGCCCGGGCGCCUCCGGCCGGCCCGCUGUUCCCACGCGGACUCGAAGGAGACUUGGCAGAGAUAAGUGAAUGUCCCAGGAAUUCCGUGCACAGAAGAAAAAAAGAAAAAGAAAAAAAGGUCAGGACCAAACGUGUGAGUCCUCUGCAAUCAAGACUUUCAGGAUACUUUCACGUCCUCCUCGUUAGUAUAGUGUCUCCACGAAGACAUUCAGAGUUGCCUGCGGUGGAGCUGCCAAGAAAAUGAAACGGCUCAAAACAAUUUUAAGAAAGAGUAGUGGAAACCCUAAGCACCUCCAAUUAUAAGGACAUCUGUGUUUGACGCUGGACACUGGACAUCGCUUCCAUAGUGGGUGACGUCUUAGGGUGCUGUGCCCCCCAGUCCUCUCCCUUCACCUGUACAUUUAGGAUAACAAGGUCGACCUCAUGACUCUUGGGGAGAUAUUAAUAAAUGAGCAAUGGGAAACUGGUCGGCAGUCUAUAGGACAAUAAUACUUGAAAUUAUCUUUUUCUUGGGCAAUAUUUGCUUGAAUUGCUGUGGAGAAGUGCCAUUUGCAUUGCUAUCAAUUAUCUACAAGUCAGCUUUUACCAUACAAAACUCUGGAAUAGUUUAGUAAAUAGAAAUUCAGUUAAAGGUGCACACUUUGAACCAAUUUCCCAAUGCCUAUUAGACAAUGUCCCGCACUUUGCGGAAAGGACACCCGGCACUUUUCUGUGGUCCAUCUUCAAGACUCGUGCUUUUUUCUGACACAGGUGAACAUUUACAGAAGUUGUGAUACAGGUUUCAAACUGAGUAAAUAUGGAAGCAUUAGCAGAGAUAGGUGUGGUAAGCCAGUAUCUCUCACACUUCAAGUGCUUCAGGAUUACUUGGGUGUUUUGUCAAAUGCACAUUCUUCUCCAGCAGAGAGAUGGUGCUGGUACAGGAACCAACCACCCUUGGGAAAACUCUCAGUGUACGUCAGAAUGCUGCUGUACAUUAGAGUCACCUAGAAGCCUCUAAAAUACCUGACGGAGGGUGGCAUCCCAUGCCAAGUAAAUUAGGAGGUCUGGAGGUGGAACCAGCCUCCAACAGGUGUUGAAAAUUCCCAGGUGAUCUCCAUCAUGAUCUCUGUCAUUGGUUAUUCUGAUUAUGUUACUAACAUAUUCAGAUGUUUAUUAUAUUUAAUAUAAAAUCUAAACUAUUUGUAAAGCAUAUUGACACCCCCCCCCAGUGAUCUAGCCUAGAUCAUCAUUUACCUACCUACUCAUCAUAUAACAACAAAAGUAACUUCGUGUUUCUCCUCCAAAUCAUAUAGUCACCACAGAAUGCCAAAGGGCACGGUGGGGAUGGCGUGUUUUAUUUCCGUUCUGCUUUGCCUUUAGAGACUUUAGGUGGUACAUGAGGGGAAACAGAGAGGGAAGCAAAGAAGAGAGAAGAGGGGAAAUGGAGAGGGGCUGGGGAGAGGUAGAGAAAAGGAAGGAGGGGAGAAUGAGCAGAGGAAACACCUACUGAGAAGUGAGAAGUGGGUUCUGAGGGAAAUGGUCUUUUCCAGCUGAGGAAGCCCUCUGAAGCAGGUGCCACCUCCCUUUUUUUCUGGCUGUAGAGAACCUGUGGAAUCCUCAUUAUAAAAGUUCAGGGAAAACUCCGAAGGGGGCAAUGGACUCAUGCCCUGCCUUGUAAUUUUGACCUUUAGCUCUGUUUCCCUUUUAUUUUCCUGAAUUAUUAAAUGAACUCCAGUCACUGGA